UUUUUUACAUAAAAUGUAUGAGUUGAUGUUUGAAACGGCAUUCUGUAGUGAAAAUCACGUUUAAUUUCGACAAGAGCUUCGCAUCGCAACAUCAUUUUAUUUGUCAAAUCAAAAGUUAGUGUUUUAAGUGUUUGUUGUGAGUGAGAAUAUACGAAAACGUAAUAAGCCACUGUUAAUUAUUAAAAAAAUACUAUUAAUUACCAAAAUUGCACUUUAAAAUAACUUUAUUCUUCAUCGAUAUUUUAUGGAGUGUAUGUUUUUAUUGAAAACAUUGUUGAAAGAGGCUGACGCUACGGAUCAGCGUGAAAUGCGUCGAAAAACCUACGAAAUUCACAAUUUAUCACUUUUAACUUGAGAUGACGACUAUGUAAAAGUAUAAAGAAAGUGUAUAGAUUGUCGAAGGAUCAUAUGAACCAGUUAGGAUGUGAAUUACACCCUUUCAUGAAGACCACUAAAAGUCAGUGAAAAGGACUUUCAACUCUUCUAAAGUUAUUGUGCACCUUGUUAUUUUUGGUCAAUUGAAGUUACCAAAAAAAUCAUAAAAGAAAAUAUAAGAACAUAUUUGUCCCAGACAUCCCAGUGUAUAUUUGAGAUUGUGGAGGCUCUGAACAACCCAGCAACUAUAUAUAAAUAUUUAAGAUUCCCACAGAAUGCUCAAGAAUGGCAAAAGUUGAAGAAAAAGCGAAGAAAAAAGAAGGUGGAUUAAGCUAAAUAAAAAAAAAAUUUUUUCAUAAAAAUUACCAAUAUUAAUGUAAUGCUAAAUAUUGUAGUUUUUAUGAAAAAUUUAGAAUCCUUUGGGUUAUUGGGUGUAUUGAUGGGAAGUUGGUGGCCUUAAAAAGAUCUGCUAUAAAAAAAAAUGGUUUUCACUGUCGCAAAGGAUAUCAUGCAAGAAAUGUACAAUUUGUAAAGCUAUUAAUAUUUUUCGAAAUUCUGAUAUGUAAUCCAUAAACGAAAUGUGUAUUAAGAACCUAUGUAUUCAUUUCAGUUAAAUUGUAAUUGUGUUUAUUGCUAUAAGUUAUUGUGAAAUUUAGUAUUUAUCUUAAAUAAACUUUAUUCAGUUAUAAUCAAAACAAAAUAAAAUCUAGUAAAAUCUAAGUAAUGAUCAUUAUAAUUAUUUAACAUCUUUUCGGGCUUUCUGUAUAUGCUCAACGUUCCAACCUUAUAACACCUUUUGCUAUUUUUUUUUCAUUGCUUAGAUCGGUGGACGAGCUGCCAGCCCACCUGGUGUUAAAUGGUUACUGGAGCCCAUAGACAUCUACAAAGUAAAUGCGCCACCCACCUUGAGAUAUAAAUUCUAAGGUCUCAGUAUAGUUACAACAGCUGCCCCACCCUUCAAACCGAAACGCAUUACUGCUUCACGGCAGAAAGAGGCGAUAACGCUAUGCUAUGCUAGCUAAUACCUGCUAAUAAUAGCUAGCUAAUGCUAACACGGAGGAAGAUACUCAUGAAGUUUUGUAGCACCGCCUUCAUUCCACUGCCCGUAACUCAGUGGAAAGAACAAUAGGUAUGUUAAAGAGUAGAUUCAGGUGUUUGCUGAUCUAUAGGGUGCCAAUUUAUCACCCUGAUAAGGUAGCAAAAAUAGUUGUUGCGUGUUGUUUUGCACAACAUUUGCAAUUGUGCAGAGCUGCCAGUUCCCAUGAUCUCAGAUGAUGAGACUACAUGUACAUUAUGGUGGUCAUGUUGAAUUACUUUGUUAAAUUUUACUAAUUAGCUUACUUAUAGUGUGAAGUAACUUCAAAUAUAAAUUAAUGAUUUAUAAAAA